rnacentral:pre_miRNA from 1 species
UCCGGCCAGUUAGAUCGACCAGCGGAGAGCCCGGGGUCACUAGAUUCAGCCGAUGGCCUCGGGCUCGCCGUUGGCCGAUGCGGCGGCUCCUC